rnacentral:lncRNA from 1 species
AAGAAGUUAAGAUUCAGCGAGACUAAGCAAAAUUGGCCAUUUUUGAGUCUUUGUUCCAUUCUCAUUACACGACAAUGAGCAAAGAGGGGCAGCUGUAAUGGCCAAUUUUUGGCCCAGACAAAUAAAAAAACAAAACCCAAAACAAUAAAAAAGAGCCCAAAUAACAGCCCACUAAUCUUAAGAAUUUUCAGCAGCCAACCCUAGCCCCAAGCCUCCAACCGCUGCUCCCCACGUGCUCGGGCAGCACGUUCAACGCUCGGCCACCACACCCCGCGCAUGCCCUCCUCCUUAAUGUGCCUGACACUCCCAUAACCUGCAAACAUUUGGAAAAGAGGAAAAAAUGGCAGCAAGAAGCACAAGCAGUAGCAGAGAAUAAAACAAACAAUAUUUUAAUAUGGGAAUCGGCUAUAAAGCCGAAAUGAAACUGAUUGUAAAGGGGGGGAUCCAAAAAAAUUGUAUCACUCGCAUAUUUUUCAAGGAAUCAAACAAAAAACACACAAAAGGUUGAUCUCCGAUUUUGUUCUAUUUAUUUUCGUAUUUUCGUUUUCUUGCUUCUUUAAUAUUUCUUUUAUUUUUUUAUACAAAUCUAUUAAACAAAGAUACAAAAAAAAUAAAAGGAAAGAGGAAGGAUUCUCACCAGAUCCGGCCCCGUCGUCGCGUUGUCGGAGCCCUCCCCUCCGUUUGGCGUGGUUGAGUCUAAAAAAGGGGUUGAACCAUUGUCUUUCGUUUUUGGAACGAGCCUCCAACAAGUAAAAAAGAGGGGGGGAGAGGGGGAGAGAGCAGGGAAGCUAUCUGUUCUUUUUGUUUAAAAUUGG